AAGCCUAUGAUUUAAUUGGUUAGAAUAGUCUCUUGAUAAGGGAUUUGUAGAAGUUCAAAUCUUCUUGGGCUUA
rnacentral:tRNA from 2 species